GAAGCAUAUCCAUUGCAACCACAUGAAACUGAAAACAUGUGGGCAAGGCAACCAUGACAGCACCAGCAUGUUCUACCAACUCCCACCAAUGGGAUGCAAACAGUGCCCCUUUGUGCAGAGGUGACAGAAAUGAGGCUGGUAGCUCCUUCAGGGUGCUGUAAAGUGAGGUUGGAACUCAGAGCUAGAGAAGAAGAGGCUGGAGCUUGGUGUGACAGUUGGAGCUCCAGUAACUGUCUUGGGUGAUGAGUUACCCUGGGAUGGAAGUUGGCGCUGAGGAUGGCGUGUGCAGAUUGCAGUGUGGUUCUCUCUCCCACUCCGCCCUGGAUCUGCUGACAUGCCUCAUUUUCUCCUCGUCCUGCCAGCAGCUGUAUGUCCUUCCUCACGUCUA
rnacentral:lncRNA from 10 species